rnacentral:tRNA from 1 species
GUUAGCAUAGUUUUACCAAAAACAUUAGAUUGUGAUUCUAAAAAGAGAGGUUAAAAUCCCCUUGCUCACC